UGUCAAGCUGCAUAAGACCCCUGUAGCCUAAAGAGGACAAUGGGCAUGAUGAAGAAGAAGAAAAAUUAAUGCCCUAUUUAGAAAAACAUAAUCAUAGUAAAGCCCACACAUUUGCAAAUAAAGGUUUCUGGAUGUGCACUAAUGAGAAGUGGAAGAGACAGAGAGAAGAAGAAAGAAGAAUCCCAGUCAAGAAACUCAGCAUGGUGUCACUCAUGAUGGGCUGAUCCCCCCACAAGCAUUGAUGUGGUCCCUCAGUACAGACAUUACCAGAGUCCAUCUCCCAGGUGAGUCUAGAUCCUGUCAAGUUGACAAUUAACCCUACCCACCACAACCUCUAUGUUAUUUAUUAAGGAAAUGAGAAAUGGUUUCAGCAAACAUUUCCCCAGCAUUUGGGAAAGCAAUGAAAAGUGCAUGCUGAUCACAAGGCUUGUUAAACUUUAGUCUAUGUGCAAACUAGCGGUAAACUAAAAAGUACACAAAUGCUGGAGAGUUCACAUGGUGACUGCUGACAUGGUGACAUGUCAAAAUCCUUUUUAAAAUUAAACCAAGGCCAAGAAAUAGAUAAGCGAGUGAGUGCUUACCACCAACUUUGAUGACCUAGGUAAGUCUUCAGAACUCAUAUGCUGGAAGGAAAAACCUGACUCCCAGAAGUAGUUCUUUGGACUCCACGUGCAUGCAUACAAUAUAAAUAAACUUUUAAAAUAUAAAGAGAUGCAUGUUACAGAUGUUCCUAAAGCAAAGAAAUUGCUACAUAGUUAGUACCUUGUAUAUAAGACUCUAUUUUCUCUCAGUUAUCUUACCUCUCCAGGUUGACUUUCUAUGCUGACUUUAAACAAGCCACAGUCCAUUUCUCUGCCUGUGUCACUGUACAGGUGAACCAGUGGCCUGGGCUCCAUUCUUAGCACAAAGCACACCCACCACCAGGUUCGUAGCUACCUGUAACUCCAGUUCCAGAAGGCUCUGGCAUUCUCUUCUGACUUUCAUCAUCAUGCACGCAUGUGACUCACUGGCCUGCUUGCAAUCAAAGUACUCACAACAUGUUUAAAAAGAAGAGGAAGUAGUAGUAGUCGUCUUCUUAAAGAGAAGUAGAAAAAGAAAAGAGAAAACUGGUCCCAAUAAUAUCCUCAUCUUUGCCAUCAUCACCAUGAUCAUCAACCAUCACCAAUACUAUUGUUCUGGGUUUAUUUUCAGACAGGGUCUCACUCUAAUUGUCCUGAAACUCAUGAUAUAGCCCAUGCUGGGCUUAGAACCCACUGUAAUCCUUC